rnacentral:rRNA from 1 species
AUUGAACGCUAGCGGGAUGCUUUACACAUGCAAGUCGAACGAGUGGCGGACGGGUGAGUAAUAUAUCUGAACGUGCCCUGUAGCGGGGGAUAACUACUCGAACGGGUGGCUAUUCCCGCAUACCUUUGGAGCGGCCGUUAUUGGAUGAGCUAGUUGGUGGGGUAAAGGCUCACCAAGGCAACGAUCCGUAGCUGGUUUGAGAGGACGACCAGCCACACUGGCACUGAGACACGGCCCAGACUCCUACGGGAGGCAGCAGUGGGGAAUCUUGGACAAUGGGGGAAACCCUGAUCCAGCCAUCCCGCGUGUGUGAGAAGGCCUUCGGGUUGUAAAGUACUUUUGGCAGAGAAGCGGUAUCUGCAGAAUAAGCACCGGCUAACUACGUGCCAGCAGCCGCGGUAAUAC